GGGCUGGAACAGUAGAAAGGUAAGGCGUGUGUAGAAACAUAGAUAUAAAAAUUAUUCCCUGAUUCCCUGUGUACCAAUCCUAUCUAUUAUAUUGGUUGGUUAUUAAUCGGAGAUCGGAGGUAAUUCAGCGGCGGAUUGCAUGAGCGGUUGUUGGGUGGGUGGCGGCGGCGGCGGAUCGGACGCGGAGUGAGCAGAGGAUCGAAACAUGUCUGCGAUCAUAGUGUGCGGGAAGAGAUCAGCGCUGUUCCAAGAGCUUCCUCCAAAGAGGAUCCGUUGUUGUUCUUCUUCUUCUCCGGUUCGCCUCUCUCCCUCUUCCCUCCUCCACCACCUCGCUGCCUUCUUCCCUGACAUGGACAACCACCUCCUCGAGAAAGCCCUCGAAGAUUGCGGCAACGACAUCGACUCCGCUAUCAGAAGCUUAAACCAGCUUCGCUUAGGAGCAUCAACACCUCCUUCUCUUCGUUCCACUCCCAUUGCAUCUGAUGCUACUCUUCAAUCGCAAGGUGAAUGGCAAUAUGAUGCAGAAGUUUCAGCUUCUGAGGACCCGGUUACUGGACAAAAUUAUCCCACAAAUGGUGCUGAAUGGGUGGAGCUUUUUGUUAAAGAAAUGAUGAAUGCUUCAAACAUGAAUGACGCCAAAGCUCGAGCAUCAAAAAUGUUAGAGGCUUUGGAGAAGUCAAUUUGCAUGAGAACGAGUGUUGAAACAGAGCGAAACUUCCAACAGGAAAAUACGGCGUUGAAGGAACAGGUGGAGGCCCUUGUUCAAGAAAAUGUGAUUCUGAAGCGUGCUAUCUGUAUUCAGCACGAACGCCAGAAAGAAUAUGAAGACAGAGAUGUAGAGUUGCAGCAAUUGGAGCAAUUAGUGUCACAGUACCAGGAACAAGUAAGAGCUUUAGAGGUAAACAAUUAUGCACUGACAAUGCACCUAAAGCAGGCAGAGCAAAGCAGUUCCAUCCCUGGGCGUUUUCAUCCAGAUGUUUUCUAGCUUCUAACGACUCAUAAGUAAGGAUAGAUCAUGUUUUUUGCUGAGACAAAAGGACUACCACCUGGUGCGAAGAGAAGAGAGAUCAACACGUGGUGGAAGAUGAUUUACAUAGAGGAAUUUCGGGAAGGUAUUGUAGAAGUGGCAACAUAAAAUGGUCGAGGUCCAGGAGUUUACGUUCCAAGUCUAAUCAAUGUCCCGGAUGGGGAACCU